GGGUGGUAAUGCCGCAUGUCCACAUUGUCGCAUGGUGGUGUGGGAAAGGUUUUUCCGGUAUGGGAUGGGGUCAUGUCCUAUCAGCUUGUUGGUGGUGUAAGGGACCACCAAGGCGUUGACGGGUAGCCGGCCUGAGAGGGCGACCGGCCACAUUGGGACUGAGAUACGGCCCAGACUCCUACGGGAGGCAGCAGUGGGGAAUAUUGCACAAUGGGCGCAAGCCUGAUGCAGCGACGCCGCGUGCGGGAUGACGGCCUUCGGGUUGUAAACCGCUUUUGUUUGGGAGCAAGCAGUGAUGUGAGUGUACCUUUCGAAUAAGCGCCGGCUAACUACGUGCCAGCAGCCGCGGUAAUACGUAGGGCGCAAGCGUUGUCCGGAAUUAUUGGGCGUAAAGGGCUCGUAGGCGGCCCGUCGCGUCCGGUGUGAAAGCCCAUCGCUUAACGGUGGGUCUGCGCCGGGUACGGGCGGGCUUGAGUGCGGUAGGGGAGACCGGAAUUCCCGGUGUAACGGUGG
rnacentral:rRNA from 1 species